AGUGUCCUUAUUCUCCUGUAAAAGAAUACAAGCUGAAACGCUUUCAGGUGACAGUAUUGCUCAACAUAAAAACUAAAGAGAAAGAAAAGCAGUAUGGCUGGGACAUAAUGGAUGAGAAAAAAUGGAUAUUUAAUGAAUUUAGCCCUUUGUGCUGGCACAAAAUCAUACUGGAAAUUAUAGACCACAGUAAGCUGCCCUCUGGUACAUUGGCACUAUUAUUGUUCUCAUUGUACAGAUGUGGACCCUGAUGUGCAGAAACUUAAGUCAAUUGCCCAAGGUCGCAUUGCUGGUAUCUCCAUUUGUUAUGCUUGGAAAGUGAGAAAGCAUUCAACUGGCAAAGGAAGUGAACAAAAACAAGAUCAAGAAUAAACAUGACUUAAUUAAAAUCAUAAUGAGGUAUCAUCUUACCCCAGUCAGAAUGUCUCUUAUUAAAAAAAAAAAAAUGAAAACAAAAACAGAUGCUGGCGAGGAUGCAGAGAAUGGAGAAAUCUUACACACCGUUGGCUGGAAUGUAAAGCAGUACAACAUUUAUGGAAAACAGCAUGAAGAUUUCUCUAAGAACUAAAAGAACUACCCUUUGAUCCAACAAUCUACUAAUGGAGAAAAGAUGAACAUUUUGCUAUUGACUGGAGAAACACUUUCUAACUUUGGUGACCCCUGGUAAAUACCCGG
rnacentral:lncRNA from 1 species